AAGAAAGGCAAUCUUGAUAAACUGUACCCUAAGAUCAAUCAGUCUAAUACUCUCCAUCGAAUCAGAAAAAAUAUCUUUCAUCCUAUAAUCUCGUUUAAUCUUAAAUUACAAUUUUGUUCAAUAUUUUUUUCGAUACAAAAUAUAAAAUGAUUCUAAAAAUAUUUAAAUAUGAAAAUAUUUAAUCCUUCAAAAAUUUUAAAUUUAAUUUUAAAUUUGUAUGAAUUCAAAUGAUAAAACACUCUGAAAUAAUAAUUAUAUCGAGUCCUCAGUGUUUAAACUUUAGACUUUUAGACUCCCUGUUCGAAUAUCUUUAAGGAGCGCGAUAAAUACAGGAGGAUCAGCAUUAGUGGUCAGGACUUGGAAUAUCACGGACUACGAAUUAUAUAAAUCCUCCGACAAAUCCAGAUGGCUUUAGCACGUGUAUAAGGUGUAACCGAAAUCAUAGAAUGGAAGAAAGAAAAUUUAUGUUAAAUGUAUGAAUU